UACUUCUUCUUUCAGAUAUUCAUUAAGUGGGGCUGCUACUACUUCCAACUGAAGGUUAAUGUUUGGUCGUUGCCAUCUGCAUUGAGGAGGUGCUCUCAGGCUGAUCAUUUUACCAUAACCUUUGUAAGGGUUAUCCAGGCACCAGUACCUGCCCUGGACAUACAACUUCAAAAGAUGAAGUCUCUCAGUGGAACCAUCAUUUGUUGCUUAAAGGAACUUUUUUAAAAAUAAUUUCUGUCACAGUGCACAAUUUUGAGUAGGAUGAAAUGCCUAUUGAUUUUGUUUUUAGUCCCAAAUUGUCUGUUUAGGACUGAGAUAUGGGAACUGAAACCUCUGCAGCACCUGUAUCAAGUAUCUGCUUUAAGUUGAUGGGUUUAUUUUUUCUGGGAGAUGGAGAGGAAGUUGUUGCUUCGUAUAUAUUUGUAUAUAGAGUCAUUUUUACUUGAGAUAAAAACCCUGAGAGUGCAUUAAGGACAGAAUUUUACAAAUUGCAGCAACUGAAUGCUUAUGUAGACAAUGUUUUGUGGUGAUUCUCUGAAAGGGCCAAUUGCUUUGCUAACUUUCCUGUAAGGUUCAGUUAAUGUUCAGGUGACAUUUAUUUUAAGCAUUUUCAAGAUCUGGCCAUUUUUUUUUUUUUUGAAAAAUUAAUACCCAAUUUGGAAAACCUCACAUCUCAAAGUCAUCAAAAUAUGCUUUCCCCCCAUCACCUUUCGUGUUAGUUUAUAUAAACAUUGGUCCAAAUUAAAUAUCUUUCUUGAAAUCUGGAUAAUAUUAAUGCUGAAUGCCAUCAUCACUGUUACAUUUACACUGUGCUGGAAAAAUUCAGAACAACAUUGCUGUCAAGGUUUUUUGGGCAUUAAUUUGCUUUCUCUGGUAAUCCAGACAAUACUAAAAGUAACUGGUUGUCACAUUUUUCUUCUUAUUAAGCUCUUUGAAGUUAAGUGCCCCUCCCACUCUACGACAGGAAUGAUCUUUGUCCCUUUUAAGAAAAAGUUUAUCAGAUCUUUAUUGAAUGCACGAUUGCUGAUGACCCCUUCAAGUCAGUCGAGAUCUGAGCUGCCACUGGGUAGCCUCUGCAAAAAUGUUACUGUUGAUUUCUAAACAUGUUAGCUCAAAAGUCUAUUUUCUGUAUCAGAAAGCUAGUUUGUUCUGUUUUUCUAAGUGUGUGCCAGCAUGUGGCUUCAAACCUUACAGACCUUGUAUAAGAGAGUUGCAACAGGUUAAUGACAGAAGGUAUGGUUUUUAGGGGGAAUAGACCCUGGAAGCUCAACAAUGUCAUCACAAAGAGGCCAAAUCAUAUUUCUUGUGUGCCAAAAAGUUGAGACUCAUUAUUGUCCCACUCUUUUACUGAAAAGUUUCCCUCAAACCGAAGAGCUACAGGCUUUCAUACUUAGUGACUUAUCAAUGCAGAAGCACAGUUUUCAACUAAUACAAGAAAUGAGUUCUACCUGAAACUGAUUUUGUAGCUUAGAACUGCAGUGUAAAGGAAGGCCAGUCUGGUUAGAUCAGAGUCCUGGUGCUGGGAUUGCUUUCAAAGGUCUAGUUUGACUGAACAGGCUGUGAAAGCAAUGUUGCAAUCUGACCUUGCUAGUUUUCUGAGGACGGGUUAAGUUUAACUUAACCCAAACUGUGAACACAAGGCUUACAUGCUAUGUCUUGUAGAUGACAUUUUCCAUGGGUUGCAAGAUUAAGAAAUGUUCUCCGUCAGUUUUCUUCAUGCCUCCAGUUCAUUGUCAUCUGCCUUGCUAAAGAAAGUUUCUGAGAAAGAAGCACAAUAAACAGAAUAGCUUGUUUGUGACACUACAGGUAAUGGAAGAUUUGCUUUAUCUCUUGUUACGUUCAUUCCUUGUCCUUAAUGUCAGAAAAGCAAAGUUAUCAAGAAUGGUUGAAUAUAUCUGUUUUCAAAAUGUGGAAGUCAUGUCUGUUCUUUAGAAUGGUUUAAUACAGAAAAAAAAAUGCCACAACAUUGUUGUUCUUUCAAGUGCAGGUCACUUGAUGUUAGUGCCUCAUCAAUCCCCAGAGUCCUCAGGGUUCUGUGUCAAGUGCAUGGUUAAAUUCAGGCAGAAAUAUUCUCCCAGAUAUUUCUCCCCUGACCUUUAGUUGAAUCUGGACCAAUCCUACCCCUGCUAUCCGUGAGGAGGAUUUUCUGAGUCAACAGCUUAGCCAUUUAGACAUGUACAAGCAACAGAAUUACAACGCAGAUCUGCCUUAAGGGCCUGGUGUGGGUGACUGCUAUUUACGUAGUUGCUACUGUAAGGCUCCUACAACUGCUGCUAAUUUACAGGAUAGGAACAGGCCAUUUGAUCCACACCAGUGCUUAUGCUCUAUGGUAACCUCCUCCCUAUCCUUACUACUCCGUCUGUCUGCAUAACCUUUGUAUUUCUUUCACCCUUGUAUUUAUUCAGCUUCCCCUUAAAUGCAUCCUUAUUAUUCUCCUCAACCACUCCCUAUGGUAGAGAGUACCACACUCUUUGGGUAAAGAGGUUUCUCCUGAAUUCCUAACUGGAUUUUUUUUUUAAGUGAAUAUGUAUAUUGACGGUCGCUAGUUUCUGUGUCCCUCGCAUAUGGGAAUACUCUCUUUGAUCUUUACAGAUCUUUAAUGGGUAGCCCCUCACCUUUCUCCUCCUCUAGAAAUUUUUAAAAGGUCAUCCUAUAUUGUUUUGAUAGAAUGACCAGUUAGAACAGUCAGCUGUGAAUCUUAGUGCUGAUCUCAAAGUUCAAAGGUUGUGAAGCUUACUGGCUAAGUCAGACAGCCAACUCAUUCUGCAUAAGAUUAUUUCACCACAGUUUUGCUGGGCAUUCCCACCCCAUGUUAAGCACUCUUGCUGAUCUGUUUUUUAAAUUGACGGUGUAUCAUUUUAUGAAUAUGUCCAGUCAACAGAAGUGUCAGUUAAAAUGUGAGAUCAUAUUUGCUACUUAGAAAUGUUUCUCAAUUUUUGGAUUUUGUAUCUAGUUUAAAAGAGAAAUGCACUUGUGACCAGUAAUGGUUGGCUAAAUUGAAAGUUCCUAUUUGCAGAAUAGUCAUAACUGAGGUACUGAUUAUAGAUCCAUUCAUGUAAAACCUGUUAAACAGAAAAUCUCAGUAACUUGAAUGUACUGUUAGCAUUCUGAUCUUAAGUUAUUUUUUUUUAAGGUGGAUAUUUUCUACUAGUUUGCACUAUAUGUUUGGUUAGUUAAAGAAGAAAGGUGACAUUCGGCACUGUCUACUAAUUAUAAGCUUCAAGCUAUCGCUGAUUGCAUAACAAGUGCCAUGACUCAUUAUGCGCUCUUUCUUGUGGUCUUGAGCUGCACUUUCCAAUGUCAUUACAUCCUUAUUUUGGUUUGUGUGUAUUUGGCUGCACUUUUAAAAGAAUUUCUUUUUAGUAAUGAAAACAUGGUACAUGAGUCACAGUUUUGUACCUAUUCUCUCCCGUUAACUCCAAUUUCUUCACAAUCAAAGGAAACUGUAAUUAUUAUAUUCUGUGCAUAAAAUGGCAAUAAAGUAGUAGGAUCAUCAGGAAAUGUUCUUAAACACAGGUAUAAUGUAUGGAGUGAUUCAAUUAAAAAGACAAUAUUUUUAUAUGUGUGUGUAAAGAGCUAGUAUUGCAGUAAAUCUGUCCUUUAAGAUGUUUAAUAAUGACGGGAUACUUAAAGAUGCUAAUUAAGUGUAAAUUUCAUUUUAUGUAACAUUGCUGACAGUUUAUAGUCUUGUAUAUAAUCCUUGCUUCUGUCAUUACACAAUGUAUUGUAAUUCCUUGUAAGCUUUUAAGUGAUUUUAAAUAAAUCAUGAAUUCUGA